AUUUCAGUCACGGAUUGAAUUCUUUCUUUUUAUCUAUGCAUCCAUCCAUCCACGCCCAUAAACAUAAGGCGAGGAGAAGGAAAGCAAGUAGAACGAGAGAUGGCUUCAAAGUGAAAUAGGAGAAGUUAACACGGGAGAGAAAAUAAGGGGUCGAAGCAGGCGAGCAAUUUGGCUAACAUGUUAGGUGGCUAGCAGAGGAAGCGGCGCGUUGAUGGUGGACAUCCUUCCUCACCAAAGCCGCCCCUGUUGGGCUGACGAAAGCAGAACCUCUUAGAGCACGACAAAGCACCGUCAGGGUGCAGCAGACAGUCGAGACCCGGGCAAGACGAAGACGACCGUGACGAGCUGUGUAGUCUGUGACAGAACGCAACCUGGAUGCUCACUGCCGUCUCAAAAUGACAUUAUCCGUCAAGUCCCGCCCACACACGGCUGACCGGCACUGCUCGUUGCAAUUUCCGACUGGAAAACUCGGAUUUGCAACUUCUAAUAAACUUAACACACAUUCCUUGCUUUUACACAUAUUUACAUUUCAAAUGGGACUGUCCAAAUUAACAUGUUAGUUUUCCUCAAAGUCACACUUUUUUAAAACUUGCAAUUAUCACACCACCAUUAGUUGAUCUGGUAGUGUAGCACACACUUACCGAAAGAGAAAGUCACACAAGUGGAGGUAGCAUAUAAGAAAAUAAACCUGAGAGUAAUGUUUUAUUAUUUGUUUGUAUCCGUUCCUAUGACACGCAUGUGAAAAUGUGUUCGUUGAAUGUAUACUACUACCGUGACUUUAAUGCUGAAUUUUGUUAGCAUGUCAAUGGUGUUUUACAUUGUGCGUUAGCAUUACGCCGCUGAUGUUUGGAACAAGCUACUUGUUUGUAACACGAAGUUUGCGUUGUAUAUAAAUGUACAGUGUGCGUAGUUGUUUUUGUCAUGCGUUUAGUUUUAUAGUGACAGUCUUACAAAAUGUGAAAUCUGUUGUUUAUUGUUGGGCUCGAAUUUGAAAUCUUUCAAUCAUAUUUGCAUACGGUAAGCGUAUUUGCCCACUUGGAUAUUGAGAAGAGUAUGAAAAACUAGAACAUUUAACUUUUGAUGAUUUUACUUUUAAUUAAUUUACUUGUCAAUCCAUCCAUUUUCUACCACUUAUUGUCAAUUGUUUUGAAAUGUGAAUCAUGAUUAAUAAUGUGAAUCGAUUGACAACUCUAAUUCCAACGCUCAAGGACUCGGCCAAAGUAGGGCUACAGUUUAUCGGUUUGUUGGGUUUAUUUCCCCAUAACGACUUUUUAAAUUCAUGGGAUUCUCACUGCUAUGCGCGGCGGCAAACAAGAUGAGCUAGUUUAGAAAGUCAUCUUGGGGUUAUUUUACGGCCAGAUCGCACACAACCCUUGAAAACGUCAUAAAUUUUUUACAUACUGAUUUUUUUUUCGUAUUCAUGCAAUUCUGUCGUUCAAAGUGUGUCACUGCUAAUGAGCACAGCUUAACUAAUGCGGCGGCAAACAAGAUGAGCUCGUUUCCGAUAUUCACAUUGUGUUUAUUUUAAGGUCAGUUCUCUCACAUCCUUUAAAAAUGCAUUAAAAUGUUACCUUUAUCAAUUUUAAAGCUUUUUGUUGUUCGUGGGAUUCCGUAAUUGAAAGUGCGUCACUGUUCCUGAGCGCUGCUUAAACUAACGCGGCGGCAAACAAGAUGAGCUCGUUUACAAAAGUCAUAUUGGGUUUAUUCUCAGGCCAGAUCGCCCACAGCCCUUAAGAAAACGUUAUUAAAUGUUAACGUAAUCAGAAAUGAA